UGGGGAAUAUUGGACAAUGGGCGCAAGCCUGAUCCAGCAAUGCCGCGUGAGUGAUGAAGGCCUUAGGGUUGUAAAGCUCUUUCGCACGCGACGAUGAUGACGGUAGCGUGAGAAGAAGCCCCGGCUAACUUCGUGCCAGCAGCCGCGGUAAUACGAAGGGGGCUAGCGUUGUUCGGAAUUACUGGGCGUAAAGGGCGCGUAGGCGGCCUGUUUAGUCAGAAGUGAAAGCCCCGGGCUCAACCUGGGAAUAGCUUUUGAUACUGGCAGGCUUGAGUUCCGGAGAGGAUGGUGGAAUUCCCAGUGUAGAGGUGAAAUUCGUAGAUAUUGGGAAGAACACCGGUGGCGAAGGCGGCCAUCUGGACGGACACUGACGCUGAGGCGCGAAAGCGUGGGGAGCAAACAGGAUUAGAUACCCUGGUAGUCCACGCCGUAAAACGAUGAAUGCUAGACGUCGGGGUGCAUGCACUUCGGUGUCGCCGCUAACGCAUUUAAAGCAUUCCGCCUGGGGAGUACGGCCGCAAGGUUAAAAACUC
rnacentral:rRNA from 1 species